AAGAGUACGGGAAACCCUUCGGGGGAAAACCUUGAAACCCCAAAAGAUCGAAUGAGGAGAUUCAUCGUCAGCGUAUUCAGUAUUAAUGCAGGCUAUGAUGUGAUAAUAGAAUCCUCGUGGUCACUAGAUUAUACUUGCUUGUAUUAUUUUUGCUGGGUAUGUCGGCGUGCACUUCUCCUCUAGUAGAACGUCGCAACCCGUUGGAUGUUUAUCUAUGGCCUGAUUGGUAGCCUUUGAUAUUUAUUAUAUUGAAGACCUUUUGGUGUCCUGAAAAACUGUCUGACGGUAAAAAUAAUAGUAUUGAGCCGCAAUUAUUUGCGUUAGACUUAUCGCAAGUAAGGCUUUAUUCUGGUAGUGCGGAUUUAAUGCCGUCGCUGGACAAAGUCUGCUGUUAGCUGUGUAAUGUCUUUAACUGGCUUAUUUACUGGUUAGCGAUGCUACUGCUUUGGGGAC
rnacentral:rRNA from 1 species